ensembl:lncRNA
AGGACUUCCCCUACUAAACACAGGAGGGAGAUACUGUGUUUAUCAGGAAUCGGUUUGAGGUGACACCUGCUGAUGGGAUGGCCGUUGGGUGACUCAUGGAGCCGGUCCAGCUCUGAAGUGGCAGUUCAAAAUUAUGCAACUAUGUUUAAUUAACUUUGAUGGGUGUGGAUUUAUUGUAACCAAAUGUGGCCGAGGAGUUUGUUGCAUUGUGUUUUAACUUGUUUGCUGUGACUAUUCGUUUACAUGAAUUAGUGUUUGCCUCGCAUGUUUGCACCGGAGUCUGAGAGAAUUGCAUUUCAGUCCCGUCUAUGCCCUGUACAUAUGGCAGAAUUGAAAAUAAGGUGGACUUUCACUGCAUUUUUAAAAGUAAUAAUAAUAAUAAUAAUAAUAAUAAUGCUGCAUUUCUGAAAUUG